UACGUAGGUGGCAAGCGUUGUCCGGAAUUAUUGGGCGUAAAGCGCGCGCAGGCGGUCCUUUAAGUCUGAUGUGAAAGCCCACGGCUCAACCGUGGAGGGUCAUUGGAAACUGGGGGACUUGAGUACAGAAGAGGAAAGCGGAAUUCCACGUGUAGCGGUGAAAUGCGUAGAUAUCUGGAGGAACACCGGUGGCGAAGGCGGCAUCCUGGACCGGCAUUGACGCUGAGUGAGCGAAAGCCAGGGGAGCAAACGGG
rnacentral:rRNA from 1 species